rnacentral:rRNA from 1 species
CACUCCUACGGGAGGCAGCAGUGGGGAAUUUUGGACAAUGGGCGAAAGCCUGAUCCAGCAAUGCCGCGUGAGUGAAGAAGGCCUUCGGGUUGUAAAGCUCUUUUGUCAGGGAAGAAACGGUGAGAGCUAAUAUCUUUUGCUAAUGACGGUACCUGAAGAAUAAGCACCGGCUAACUACGUGCCAGCAGCCGCGGUAAUACGUAGGGUGCAAGCGUUAAUCGGAAUUACUGGGCGUAAAGCGUGCGCAGGCGGUUUUGUAAGUCUGAUGUGAAAUCCCCGGGCUCAACCUGGGAAUUGCAUUGGAGACUGCAAGGCUAGAAUCUGGCAGAGGGGGGUAGAAUUCCACGUGUAGCAGUGAAAUGCGUAGAUAUGUGGAGGAACACCGAUGGCGAAGGCAGCCCCCUGGGUCAAGAUUGACGCUCAUGCACGAAAGCGUGGGGAGCAAACAGGAUUAGAUACCCCGGUAGUCCCAUG